AAGGAAGACCUUUCUCUCUGUCUCUCUCUCUGUCCACUCUGCCUGUCAAAAAAUAAAAUAAAAAAAUAAAAAAAUAAAUCUUUUUAAAAAGCCUAGAACUCCACCCAGGUCUACCACGGGGGUGGCAGGUGCCCAGGUACUUGGACCAUAUGCCGCUAUUUCUCAGGUGUGUUAGUAGGGAGCUGGCUUGGAGCCAGGGCUUGAACAGGCACUUCAACUAUGGGAUGCUGGCAUCAUAAGCAGUGUCUUAGCCCGCUGUGCCAUACACCAGUCCCCAAGAACCAAGGUUUCUUUCUCCCUCCAAAUCUGAUAUCAGUGAAGUAAAGGAGUUUUGCUUGUCCUCAGGGAGCUGUCACAGACUUUUGUCAAACUUGGUUCACUGGGUGUGGUGAUAAAUAAUCUGCACAUGUUUUGAUGUGUUUUAUCAAGCUGAUGAGAGCCCUUGUACUCAGGUAAAGUCUGCUGGGGACCAUGUGCUAAUGGGGUGGACAUGCAGAACCAGUGACAGCCAGGUUACUCAUCAACAGAGAAAGUGUCUACACAAUGUCUCUUUAGUGGGGCAACGACACCCGAAACAUCACCCUCACCCGUGGCCAGGAAAGGCAGGGGACACAGGCACAGCCCCCUGGGUGGCCACCCCUGGUCACAGUGCCUGAGCUGGAUGAGCUCAUAAUGCAGGUAGCGUCCAUGCCAGGGCUCUGCCGGUUAGGAGACAGAGGUACCAGGAAGAGAGUUCUCCAUCCAGAGGGCUUCCAGUGGGGGCUGUGAAUGCUAGGAUGGUGGGAGCCCUCUCUCCUGGGAAGAAAGCCUGUGUCCAAGAUGAAGUCCAAGGGACAGAGAGAUCCCAUGAGAUCCGUCAGUGUCUGCGGAUCUUUUGCAGUCCACAAUCACAGAUAUUGUGGUUUUCCAGUCCUGAAACAUCGAUACGGUCUGAUAGAGUCAGAGGCACGGUGCUUGGCGGGUAGCGAGGAAGACUUUGGUGACGUAAGCAGAACGUGGUCCACGCCUCCGUCUCCGAGGGGAAAGGCAGGCGCAGCAUCAGACACGGGUGGCAGUGAGUCCCAGCGGGACAGACAGUCUUGGGUGGAAAUAAAGAGUUACUAGAUACUGUAA